rnacentral:rRNA from 1 species
GACGAACGCUGGCGGCGUGCCUAAUACAUGCAAGUCGAGCGGAUGAAAGGGAGCUUGCUCCCCGGAUUCAGCGGCGGACGGGUGAGUAACACGUGGGCAACCUGCCUGUAAGACUGGGAUAACUCCGGGAAACCGGGGCUAAUACCGGAUAACUUCUUUCUUCGCAUGAAGAGAGGUUAAAAGACGGUUAUGCUGUCACUUACAGAUGGGCCCGCGGCGCAUUAGCUGGUUGGUAGGGUAACGGCCUACCAAGGCGACGAUGCGUAGCCGACCUGAGAGGGUGAUCGGCCACACUGGGACUGAGACACGGCCCAGACUCCUACGGGAGGCAGCAGUAGGGAAUCUUCCGCAAUGGACGAAAGUCUGACGGAGCAACGCCGCGUGAGUGACGAAGGCCUUCGGGUCGUAAAACUCUGUUAUCGGGGAAGAACAAGUGCCGUUUAACUGGCGGCGCCUUGACGGUACCUGACCAGAAAGCCACGGCUAACUACGUGCCAGCAGCCGCGGUAAUACGUAGGUGGCAAGCGUUGUCCGGAAUUAUUGGGCGUAAAGCGCGCGCAGGCGGCUUCUUAAGUCUGAUGUGAAAGCCCACGGCUCAACCGUGGAGGGUCAUUGGAAACUGGGAGGCUUGAGUGCAGAAGAGAAGAGCGGAAUUCCACGUGUAGCGGUGAAAUGCGUAGAGAUGUGGAGGAACACCAGUGGCGAAGGCGGCUCUUUGGUCUGUAACUGACGCUGAGGCGCG